GGGCUGCCGCUUUUCCUCCCUUUCUGGUCGGUUUGUAGUGCGUCACUCAAAAAACUGUAAGAAAAGUUGGUACUAAGAAGUGCCUUUCCUGACGUCUCUGCUGCUUGGAACCGCUUCUAGAGCAGCCUCUGCUUUUGCCUUGCUUGCUGCCAGCUAGACUGUGACGACAGCACAUCCGCCCUCCACCUCUAGCCCAGACACCCCCAUUUCUACUUCUAAUCAGGAGAAAAGCUCUGAGUAUCUGCCAUUGCCCUAGGCUGCUUUAGUUUAGAAGAAAAGUUUGCUGAAAAAGUAAGAUACCUUCUGCCAGGAAAUCAAGGAGGAAAAAAAAAUCAUUUUCUCGAUUUUGCUCUAAACUGCUGCAUCUGUCUAUGCCAAACUAAUCAAUACCGAUUGCACCACCAAACUCCAUCGCAAAUCAGCUGUGAGGAGAUCCCCUGUCAGACAACUUUGCUGAGAGCAGCUUGGAAAUUCGGUGUCAAAGGGUCUGCCACGUUUUCAUGCUUGCAUUUUGGGCUCCAAAUUGGCACUGGGAAGGGGUUACGAGCACAAGGCUGAUUCCAGGCCCUCCUUUAAACACCCAUCUACUUACAACCGUGGUAUUUCUCUAAAAACCAAAACCUCUUUGAAUUAACAGUUUCAUGCUGUGAAUUUCUAGCGGAGGUCUUUCCCUUGAUAUUGAAGUCACACUUUUCCAUGUGCCGUUAAAGCGGGGACUGGGGAAGCAGCCUUUCGGACAUUUUCACAGUCAUCUCACACUUCUGAGUUUUAUCAGUUCCUAUUUUGUUUAGUUUUUGUCUUU
rnacentral:lncRNA from 1 species